AUGGCUCAGAACGAACGCUGGCGGCAGGCCUAACACAUGCAAGUCGAGCGCGCCCUUCGGGGUGAGCGGCGGACGGGUUAGUAACGCGUGGGAACCCGUACCUUUGGUAGGGAAUAGCCACUGGAAACGGUGAGUAAUACCCUAUGAGCCCUUCGGGGGAAAGAUUUAUCGCCAAAGGAUCGGCCCGCGUUAGAUUAGGUAGUUGGUGGGGUAAUGGCCUACCAAGCCUACGAUCUAUAGCUGGUUUUAGAGGAUGAUCAGCAACACUGGGACUGAGACACGGCCCAGACUCCUACGGGAGGCAGCAGUGGGGAAUCUUGGACAAUGGGGGCAACCCUGAUCCCAGCCAUGCCGCGUGAGUGAAGAAGGCCUUAGGGUCGUAAAGCUCUUUCGCCUGUGAAGAUAAUGACGGUAGCAGGUAAAGAAACCCCGGCUAACUCCGUGCCAGCAGCUGC
rnacentral:rRNA from 1 species